UAAUUCGACGCAACGCGCAGAACCUUACCAGCCCUUGACAUCCCGGUCGCGGUUUCCAGAGAUGGAUUCCUUCAGUUCGGCUGGACCGGAGACAGGUGCUGCAUGGCUGUCGUCAGCUCGUGUCGUGAGAUGUUGGGUUAAGUCCCGCAACGAGCGCAACCCCCGUCCUUAGUUGCUACCAUUUAGUUGAGCACUCUAAGGAGACUGCCGGUGAUAAGCCGCGAGGAAGGUGGGGAUGACGUCAAGUCCUCAUGGCCCUUACGGGCUGGGCUACACACGUGCUACAAUGGCGGUGACAAUGGGACGCUAAGGGGCAACCCUUCGCAAAUCUCAAAAAGCCGUCUCAGUUCGGAUUGGGCUCUGCAACUCGAGCCCAUGAAGUUGGAAUCGCUAGUAAUCGUGGAUCAGCAUGCCACGGUGAAUACGUUCCCGGGCCUUGUACACACCGCC
rnacentral:rRNA from 1 species